AACGAACGCUGGCGGCAGGCUUAACACAUGCAAGUCGAGCGCCCCGCAAGGGGAGCGGCAGACGGGUGAGUAACGCGUGGGAACGCACCCUUUGCUACGGAAUAGCUCCGGGAAACUGGAAUUAAUACCGUAUGUGCCCUUCGGGGGAAAGAUUUAUCGGCAAAGGAUCGGCCCGCGUUGGAUUAGCUAGUUGGUGGGGUAAAGGCCUACCAAGGCGACGAUCCAUAGCUGGUCUGAGAGGAUGAUCAGCCACAUUGGGACUGAGACACGGCCCAAACUCCUACGGGAGGCAGCAGUGGGGAAUAUUGGACAAUGGGCGCAAGCCUGAUCAGCCAUGCCGCGUGAGUGAUGAAGGCCUUAGGGUUGUAAAGCUCUUUCACCGGUGAAGAUAAUGACGGUAACCGGAGAAGAAGCCCCGGCUAACUUCGUGCCAGCAGCCGCCGUAAAAC
rnacentral:rRNA from 1 species